AGCUCUGUAAAACUGCACAGAAAAACUGAAGAAAACAUUCUUGCAAAGAAACUUUAUUGUUAUGAGCUUUUAUUAAAAGCCACACUCUGGUUUUUAACCAGGUUUUCCGAAGGAAAAAACUGGUUAUUAGAUUGGCGAAUGCGGGCGGGCUGUCUGGCUGGCGGGCUGGCGGAAUAAGCUUGUCCGGGCCAUAACUAUGUCGUUCAUUGUCAGAUUUUAAAAUCAUUUGGCACAUUUGUUCACCAUCAUUGGACGGUGUGUCGCGCGAAAUAAUUACGUCGAUAUCUCCAAGGUCAAGGUCACACUUUGAGUUCAAAGGUCAAAAAUGGCCAUAAAUGAGCUUGUCCUGGCCAUAACUAUGUCAUUCAUUGUGAGAUUUUAAAAUCAUUUGGCACAUUUGUUCACCAUCAUGGGACGGUGUGUCCCACGAAAGAAUCACGUCAAUAUCUCCAAUGUCAAGGUCGCCACGACUAAAAAUAGAUUAAAAAAAAAAAAAAAACUUACAAA